GACGGACGCUGGCGGCGCGCUUAACACAUGCAAGUCGAGCGAGAACCUGGGCUUCGGCCCUGGGGACAGCGGCGAACGGGUGAGUAUCACGUGGGUAAUCUGCCCUCGGCAUCGGGACAGUCCGGGGAAACCCGGAUUAAUACCGAAUAGACUCCGGAGCCUUCGGGCGCCGGAGAAAAGGUAGCUUCGGCCUCUGGCCGAGGAUGAGCCCGCGGCGGAUUAGCUUGUUGGCGGGGUAACGGCCCACCCAGGCGACGAUCCGUAGCUGGUCCGAGAGGACGAUCAGCCACACUGGGACUGAGACACGGCCCAGACUCCUACGGGAGGCAGCAGUGGGGAAUCUUGCGCUAAUGCGGGAAACCGUGACGCAGCGACGCCGCGUGGGGGAAGAAGGCCUUCGGGUUGUAAACCUCUUUCAGGAGGGACGAAGCUACUCGGGUUAAUAGCCCAGAGGGUGACGGUACCUCCAGAAGAAGCCCCGGCUAACUACGUGCCAGCCGCCGCCGUAA
rnacentral:rRNA from 1 species